UACAGAGGUCUCAAGCGUUGUUCGGAUUCAUUGGGCGUAAAGGGUGCGUAGGCGGCGCGGUAAGUCGGGGGGUGAAAUCUCGGAGCUUAACUCCGAAACUGCAUUCGAUACUGCCGUGCUUGAGGACUGGAGAGGAGACUGGAAUUUACGGUGUAGCGGUGAAAUGCGUAGAUAUCGUAAGGAAGACCAGUGGCGAAGGCGGGUCUCUGGACAGUUCCUGACGCUGAGGCACGAAGGCCAGGGGAGCAAACGGG
rnacentral:rRNA from 1 species